AGCUCCAAGAGCGUAUAUAAAAGUUGCUGCAGUUAAAAAGCUCGUAGUUGGAUGUAGACGGUCGCUCGCGAGGCGGUCCCGGUUUUCCGGAGCACCCCUUCGGCGUCCUCUGGCUGGCGAGCGUCGCGGCUGGGCUUCACCGCUCGGCCGCGGGCCUCGCCGUGGUUACUUUGAGUAAAUUGGAGUGUUCAAAGCAGGCGUUCGCCGUGGACACGUUAGCAUGGAAUAACGGCACAGGACUCUGGCCUGUCCCGUUGGUCUGCAGGACCGGAGUAAUGAUGAAGAGGAACAGUCGGGGGCAUUCGUAUUUCGUUGUCAGAGGUGAAAUUCUUGGAUUUACGAAAGACGAACCACUGCGAAAGCAUUUGCCAAGGAUGUUUUCG
rnacentral:rRNA from 1 species